rnacentral:rRNA from 1 species
UACGUAGGUGGCGAGCGUUAUCCGGAAUUAUUGGGCGUAAAGAGCGCGCAGGUGGUUGAUUAAGUCUGAUGUGAAAGCCCACGGCUUAACCGUGGAGGGUCAUUGGAAACUGGUCGACUUGAGUGCAGAAGAGGGAAGUGGAAUUCCAUGUGUAGCGGUGAAAUGCGUAGAGAUAUGGAGGAACACCAGGGGCGAAGGCGGCUUCCUGGUCUGUAACUGACACUGAGGCGCGAAAGCGUGGGGAGCAAACAGGAUUAGAUACCCU